rnacentral:rRNA from 1 species
UACAGAGGUCUCAAGCGUUGUUCGGAUUCAUUGGGCGUAAAGGGUGCGUAGGCGGCGCGGUAAGUCGGGUGUGAAAGUCUCGGAGCUUAACUCCGAAACUGCACUCGAUACUGCCGUGCUUGAGGGCUGGAGAGGAGACUGGAAUUUACGGUGUAGCGGUGAAAUGCGUAGAUAAUCGUAAGGAAGACCAGUGGCGAAGGGAC